GUGGGGUGACUGCGUACCUUUUGUAUAAUGGGUCAGCGACUUAUAUUCUGUAGCAAGGUUAACCGUAUAGGGGAGCCGAAGGGAAACCGAGUCUUAACUGGGCGUUAAGUUGCAGGGUAUAGACCCGAAACCCGGUGAUCUAGCCAUGGGCAGGUUGAAGGUUGGGUAACACUAACUGGAGGACCGAACCGACUAAUGUUGAAAAAUUAGCGGAUGACUUGUGGCUGGGGGUGAAAGGCCAAUCAAACCGGGAGAUAGCUGGUUCUCCCCGAAAGCUAUUUAGGUAGCGCCUCGUGAACUCAUCUUCGGGGGUAGAGCACUGUUUCGGCUAGGGGGUCAUCCCGACUUACCAACCCGAUGCAAACUGCGAAUACCGAAGAAUGUUAUCACGGGAGACACACGGCGGGUGCUAACGUCCGUCGUGAAGAGGGAAACAACCCAGACCGCCAGCUAAGGUCCCAAAGUCACAGUUAAGUGGGAAACGAUGUGGGAAGGCUCAGACAGCCAGGAUGUUGGCUUAGAAGCAGCCAUCAUUUAAAGAAAGCGUAAUAGCUCACUGGUCGAGUCGGCCUGCGCGGAAGAUGUAACGGGGCUAAACUGUGCACCGAAGCUGCGGCAGCGACGCUUAUGCGUUGUUGGGUAGGGGAGCGUUCUGUAAGCCUGCGAAGGUGUCCUGUGAGGGAUGCUGGAGGUAUCAGAAGUGCGAAUGCUGACAUAAGUAACGAUAAUGCGGGUGAAAAGCCCGCUCGCCGGAAGACCAAGGGUUCCUGUCCAACGUUAAUCGGGGCAGGGUGAGUCGACCCCUAAGGCGAGGCCGAAAGGCGUAGUCGAUGGGAAACGGGUUAAUAUUCCCGUACUUGGUGUUACUGCGAAGGGGGGACGGAGAAGGCUAUGUUGGCCGGGCGACGGUUGUCCCGGUUUAAGCGUGUAGGCUGGUUUUCCAGGCAAAUCCGGAAAAUCAAGGCUGAGGCGUGAUGACGAGGCACUACGGUGCUGAAGCAA
rnacentral:rRNA from 1 species